AUUGAACGCUGGCGGCAGGCCUAACACAUGCAAGUCGAACGAGUGGCGGAAGGGUGAGUAAUGUCUUGGAAACUGCCUGAGGGAGGGGGAUAACUAAUGGAAACGGUAGCUAAUACCGCAUACCAACGGAUGUGCCCAGAUGGGAUUAGCUUGUUGGUGGGGUAACGGCUCUCCAAGGCGACGAUCCCUACAUGGUCUGAGAGGAAGACCAGCCACACUGGGACUGAGACACGGUCCAGAGUCCUACGGGAGGCAGCAGUGGGGAAUAUUGCGCAAUGGGGGCAAGCCUGAUGCAGCCAGGCCGCGUGUAUGAAGAAGGCCUUCGGGUUGUAAAGUACUUUCAGCGGGGAGGCGUUACCCGCAGAAGAAGCACCGGCUAACUACGUGCCAGCCGCCGCGGUAAUAC
rnacentral:rRNA from 1 species